UUCCUCCGGCGGGGAACUUUCACAAUCAGAUUUUUUUUUUUAUGCUAAGGAACUGGGUUUUGUACUCUCCGGUUUUCUGAUUCCAAACAUUAGGAUCUCAUCUAUCAACUGAAAAUGCUGCAUAUAGCUAGUGUUUUUGGAGAAUGGUUGGUGAAGAAGAUAUCAUGGAAAUUCAUGGUGAAUAAAAAUAAAUGAGAUCGAUGCAUGUUCGUCUUUGCAUCUCAUCUAAGAAUUUAAACAUACAGCAUCAAGAUCAUGGUUUAAAUUUUUGUGAGAUUUCUAUGGUUUCUAGAGAAGGAGAUGAGAACAUGAUUAGAAAGUCAUCUAAUAAUGUUGGUAGACAAGAUACUGUUGAUGACACUAAAGUUGAGUUUUCUAACUUUCAUGAUGGGAAUGUCAUUAAAAAGGGGCAAUGGUUCAAGAGUAAAGCAAACCUGGCUUGGAAAAUACGGAUACUUGCAAGUGAACGCAAAUUCAGAAUUAUUGUUUACAAGUCGGACAAAAAAUUGUUGGUUAUCAAAUGUGUUGAUAAAAACUACAAGUGGAAGGUUCGAGCUACAAAGAAGAACACAUCAAGUGAGUACUUUUGGAUAACAAAGUAUAUUGACAAGCAUACAUGUCUCAGUAGAGAAAUUGGUCCACCAAAAGCGUAUUCAAAGAUAAUGAGUAAGCUUCUUUUGGAAAACUUUGGAAAUGGCGGUCUAAGUAUGAAACCAAAGUUGAUCUUGACAGGUCUGAAGAAACGAUAUGGUAUUAAUUCAAAAUACUGGAAGACAUGGAAAUCAAGAGAAGAUGCUUGUAUUGAGGUAAUGGUUCUGCAGAGAGUAGUUAUGCUCGACUCCCAGUAUACCUUUACAAGAUUAAAAAAGCUAAUCCAGGCACAAUAGCAUGUCUUGAGGUUGAUAAUCAUCGGAGGUUUAAGUACUUAUUCUUAUUGUUUGCUGCUUGCGCCAAAGGUUAUGAUUUUAUGAGAACAAUUGUAGAAGUUGAUGGGACCUUCUUGAAAGGAAAGUAUGGUGGUGUUUUGCUAGUUGCAACGGCUCAAGAUGGAGACUCUAAUAUUUAUGCUCUUGCGUUUGGAAUAGUGGAUUCUGAAAAUGAUGCAUCAUGGCUUGGUUUUUCACCAAGUUGAGAUAUGUGGUGCCAGAUGAUCAGAGAUUAGUAAUGAUAUCUGACAGACAAUUAUCCAUUGCUAAAGCCAUUGGAAAGGUGUAUCCAAUGGCUCAUCGAGGAAUUUGCACUUAUCAUCUAAAAAAGAAUGUUAUUUCUAAAUCUGGAGGAAAAAAGAUUGUUCGACUGGUUAGGACAGCAUCAAAAGCUUAUAUGCCAGAAGAAUUCAAUGGGAUUUUUGCUGAGAUACGGCGUAAGAAUCAGAAGCUAAGUGACUAUUUGGCUGAAGCAAAUAUGCUAUUGUGGUCACGUACUUAUUUUUCAGGAGAUAAAUAUGACAUUACUACAAGUAAUUCAGCAGAGUCAUUAAAUAAUGUGUUCAAGGCACCCCGUGAACUACCCAUUCUAUCAUUGAUUGAGGCAAUAAGAAAUACACUUACAUGGUGGUUUUUUUUAUCGUCGAGAAAGUGCUGCAAAACUUAGUUCAUCUCUUACACCUAGAGUUGAGAAAGAGCUCAAUAAACGGUGUGAUCAGUCAUUAAGUUUUGAUGUGCAGCCUAUAAAUCUGCAAGAGUUCCAAGUAACCGAUGGGUCAAAAUUUUUUGUUGUUGAUCUACAACGGAUGACUUGCACAUGUCGUGUCUUUGAUGUUGAGAAGAUCCCUUGCAAGCAUGCUGCUAAGGCUGCAUCGAGUCAAGGCAUAGAUCAUGGGUUAUUAGUACAUCAUUACUAUAUGAAGUCUCACAUGUACGCUGCAUAUUAAGAGAGUAUAAAGCCUAUAUAUGAUCUUUCGGAUUUGAGUGAGAUAUCUUCUAAUAUUGUUGGUCAGAUUUGUCUUCCACAAGAGGUCCAAAAAAAAACAAGAAGACCUAAAAAAAGAAGAUAUAAAGGUUUUGAAGAACAAAGGAUGAGGAAAAGGCUCGAAGACAACAUACUUGAUCAAGAUGUCAUCAUUCAGGACAUAAUCGUGCCACAUGUGACUUUGGUUUUUGAUGCGUUGGCUUAUGAUGUUUCAUUUGCUAAUUUUUUUUUUUGGUCAUUGAAUCAUAUGAUUUUUUCCGAUUUACUUGUACUGGGAUUUUGUUGAAUCUUUUCUGGGAUUUAGCUCAUCAACAAAUUUGAUUAUUAAUUUCAAUUAUAUGUUCCAAACG